CACGUAGGGCGCAAGCGUUGUCCGGAAUUAUUGGGCGUAAAGAGCUCGUAGGCGGUCUGUUACGUCUGCUGUGAAAACCCGGGGCUUAACCCUGGGCUUGCAGUGGAUACGGGCAGACUAGAGGCAGGUAGGGGAGAAUGGAAUUCCCGGUGUAGCGGUGAAAUGCGCAGAUAUCGGGAGGAACACCGGUGGCGAAGGCGGUUCUCUGGGCCUGACCUGACGCUGGGGAGCGAAAGCGUGGGGAGCGAACAGG
rnacentral:rRNA from 1 species